UACGUAGGGUGCAAGCGUUGUCCGGAAUUAUUGGGCGUAAAGAGCUUGUAGGCGGUUUGUCGCGUCUGCUGUGAAACUUCGGGGCUCAACCCCGAACUUGCAGUGGGUACGGGCAGACUAGAGUGUGGUAGGGGAGACUGGAAUUCCUGGUGUAGCGGUGAAAUGCGCAGAUAUCAGGAGGAACACCGAUGGCGAAGGCAGGUCUCUGGGCCACUACUGACGCUGAGAAGCGAAAGCAUGGGGAGCGAACAGG
rnacentral:rRNA from 1 species